rnacentral:sRNA from 1 species
GCCAGGCAUGGUGGUGCAUGCCUGUAGUCCCAGCUACUUGGGAGGCUGAAGUGGAAGGAUCACUUGAGCCUGGGAGGUCAAGGCUGCAGUGAGCUGUGAUCAUGCCACUGCACCCCAGCCUGGGCAACAGAGUGAGACCCUGUCUCAA